rnacentral:rRNA from 1 species
CUGGCGGCGUGCCUAAUACAUGCAAGUCGAACGGUCUUUCUAUGGAAGCUUGCUUCCACUGAGAAGAUAGUGGCGAACGGGUGAGUAACACGUGGGUAACCUGCCCAUAAGAGGGGGGAUAACAUCCGGAAACGGGUGCUAAUACCGCAUAGUUUCUUGAUUGCAUGAUUGAGAAAGGAAAGACGGCCUUUGUGCUGUCGCUUAUGGAUGGACCCGCGGCGUAUUAGUUAGUUGGUGAGGUAACGGCUCACCAAGACGAUGAUACGUAGCCGACCUGAGAGGGUGAUCGGCCACAUUGGGACUGAGACACGGCCCAAACUCCUACGGGAGGCAGCAGUAGGGAAUCUUCCGCAAUGGACGAAAGUCUGACGGAGCAACGCCGCGUGAGUGAAAGAAGGUUUUCGGAUCGUAAAACUCUGUUGUCAGAGAAGAACAAGUUGGAGAGUAACUGCUCCAGCCUUGACGGUAUCUGACCAGAAAGCCACGGCUAACUACGUGCCAGCCGCCGC